GACGAACGCUGGCGGCGUGCUUAACACAUGCAAGUCGAACGGAAAGGCCCUGCUUUUGUGGGGUGCUCGAGUGGCGAACGGGUGAGUAACACGUGAGUAACCUGCCCUUGACUUUGGGAUAACUUCAGGAAACUGGGGCUAAUACCGGAUAGGAGCUCCUGCUGCAUGGUGGGGGUUGGAAAGUUUCGGCGGUUGGGGAUGGACUCGCGGCUUAUCAGCUUGUUGGUGGGGUAGUGGCUUACCAAGGCUUUGACGGGUAGCCGGCCUGAGAGGAUGACCGGCCACAUUGGGACUGAGAUACGGCCCAGACUCCUACGGGAGGCAGCAGUGGGGAAUAUUGCACAAUGGGCGAAAGCCUGAUGCAGCAACGCCGCGUGCGGGAUGACGGCCUUCGGGUUGUAAACCGCUUUCGCCUGUGACGAAGCGUGAGUGACGGUAAUGGGUAAAGAAGCACCGGCUAACUACGUG
rnacentral:rRNA from 1 species